rnacentral:misc_RNA from 1 species
GAUGAAGAACGUAGCGAAAUGCGAUAAGUAAUGUGAAUUGCAGAAUUCAGUGAAUCAUCGAAUCUUUGAACGCACAUUGCGCCCCUUGGUAUUCCGAGGGGCAUGCCUGUUCGAGCGUCAUUAUAACCCCUCAAGCCCAGCUUGGUGUUGGGGCCUGCCGCACGGGCAGCCCUUAAAAUCAGUGGCGGUGCCAUCUGGCUCUAAGCGUAGUAAUUCUUCUCGCUAUAGAGUCCCGGUGGAUGCUUGCCAUUAACCCCCAAUUUUCUAUGGUUGACCUCGGAUCAGGUAGGGAUACCCGCUGAACUUAAGCAUAUCAAUAAGCGGAGGA